GGGCACAAAUCCGGAAGAACUUCGAACUUUCCAAGAGGAAAGGAGGUGCCACAGCCUGAUUCCCAAAUAAUUGAGAACAUUUCACUAGCAACAGUUGAAUUGGGGCCAUUAAUCCAGCUUGUCAUCAAAUUGUCCCUGGUGCCAAGAAGGAGAGGAAAGAGUAACCCUCCACCAAUAAUAAGAAACAAAAACGUAAUACGUCUACUUCACAGCCAAGAGGUAAGAGGAUGAGGUGUUUAAGGAGAAGACAGCCAACAUUCACUAAGGGACGUCAAAUGAGGGCCUCAUCAACUCCUACUGUCCCUUCCAUGAUAUGGUACCUCCCACUGAAGUUCCCCAUCUCCCCUAGCCUGUGGUGCUGUGGAUACCG